CGUCCUCCACCUGUUGCGGGCAGAUCCAGUGGAUGUGGGCGUCGAUGCCGCCCGCCGUCAGGAUCUUGCCCUCGCCGGCGAUGACCUCCGUCCCCGGCCCGAUGAUGAUGUCGACACCGUCCUGGAUGUCGGGGUUGCCGGCCUUGCCGAUGGCGGCGAUGCGGCCGUCCUUCAGCCCCACGUCCGCCUUCACCACGCCCCAGUGAUCCAGGAUCAGCGCGUUGGUGAUGACGGUGUCCACCGCCCCUUGCGCUCGAGAGCGUUGCGAUUGCCCCAUGCCGUCGCGGAUG
rnacentral:sRNA from 1 species